rnacentral:rRNA from 1 species
UACGAGGGAUCCUAGCGUUGUUCGGAAUCAUUGGGCGUAAAGGGUGCGUAGGUGGCCAAGUAAGUCAGUUGUGAAAGCCCCGGGCUCAACCCGGGAAGUGCUUCUGAUACUGCAUGGCUUGAAUGUUGGAGAGGUGAGUGGAAUUCCAGGUGUAGUGGUGAAAUACGUAGAUAUCUGGAGGAACACCGGUGGCGAAGGCGGCUCACUGGCCAUACAUUGACGCUGAGGCACGAAAGCGUGGGGAUCAAACAGG